rnacentral:rRNA from 1 species
GCUGGCGGCGUGCCUAAUACAUGCAAGUCGAGCGGACAGAUGAGGAGCUUGCUCCUCUGAUGUUAGCGGCGGACGGGUGAGUAACACGUGGGCAACCUACCUGUAAGACGGGGAUAACUCCGGGAAACCGGAGCUAAUACCGGAUAAUAAAGAGAAACGCCUGUUUCUUUUUUGAAAGUCGGUUUCGGCUGACACUUACAGAUGGGCCCGCGGCGCAUUAGCUAGUUGGUGAGGUAACGGCUCACCAAGGCGACGAUGCGUAGCCGACCUGAGAGGGUGAUCGGCCACACUGGGACUGAGACACGGCCCAGACUCCUACGGGAGGCAGCAGUAGGGAAUCUUCGGCAAUGGACGAAAGUCUGACCGAGCAACGCCGCGUGAGCGAUGAAGGCCUUCGGGUCGUAAAGCUCUGUUGUCAGGGAAGAACAAGUACCGGAGUAACUGCC